UGUGGGAGCGAGCCUGCUCGCGAUGGUGGAGGAUCAGUGCGGUGAUAUUGACUGAAGCACCGCCAUCGCGAGCAGGCUCGCUCCCACA
rnacentral:misc_RNA from 1 species